rnacentral:rRNA from 1 species
CUCGUAGGCGGCUUGUCGCGUCUGCUGUGAAAUCCUGGGGCUUAACUCUGGGCGUGCAGUGGGUACGGGCAGGCUAGAGUGCGGUAGGGGUGAUUGGAAUUCCUGGUGUAGCGGUGGAAUGCGCAGAUAUCAGGAGGAACACCGAUGGCGAAGGCAGGUCGCUGGGCCGUUACUGACGCUGAGGAGCGAAAGCAUGGGGAGCGAACA